AAUAUUUCGUAAGGUGUCCGCCACUGGCAAGGAAAGUGCUUUUUCACCCCCAAGGGAUCAAAGGCUGCAUGCAGAAUUUGCUGAAUCCUUAAAACUAGGAGUUACUAUCGCAAGGAAAGUGCUGCCUCACACCCAAGGGAUCAAAGGCAACAUGCAGAAUUUGCUGAAUCCUGCUUUGCCGAGACAAGAUGUGAGGCGGGAUUAUUUUGAUGUAUUGAAAUAAAUUACGGUGCACGAUUCAGCAAAAAACUACAUAGUUAACUGUAAACUAAAGGUUUUUCAAGCAGCAUUAAUAAUCUUCUUGAACUACAACAUUUGAAUUCUGUUAGCCAACAUUUGAACUUUCAUUUAGCCUAUAGUGACUUAUUUCAAUGCCUUCUAAUAUGUGUUAAACAGUCCCUAAGGCACCUGUUCAGGAGGUAGGAAAAGUGCAAUUUGAAUAUCAAACACCCUGCGCAAAGUCAAAGGACAGCUAACUAUUCUACUUCUACUUUCUUGGCAUGGGCGGUUUUAUAUGAAUACCUAUAAUUAUUAUACAAUGCUUAUAAUUUCUUGCUUUUGUAUGUACAAUUUUUGCUUUUGUAUGUCGAAUUAUAAUAUUGU